rnacentral:rRNA from 1 species
UACAGAGACUGCAAGCGUUAUUCGGAUUCACUGGGCGUAAAGGGUGCGCAGGCGGCCGUGUGUGUGAGGCGUGAAAGCCUGGAGCUUAACUCCAGAAUUGCACCUCAAACUACACGGCUAGAGCAUUGGAGAGGGUAGCAGAAUUCACGGUGUAGCAGUGAAAUGCGUAGAUAUCGUGAGGAAUACCAGAGGCGAAGGCGGCUACCUGGACAAUUGCUGACGCUCAGGCACGAAAGCGUGGGGAGCAAAAGGG